rnacentral:rRNA from 1 species
AGAACGAACGCUGGCGGCAGGCUUAACACAUGCAAGUCGAGCGCCCCGCAAGGGGAGCGGCAGACGGGUGAGUAACGCGUGGGAACAUACCCUCCGGUUCGGAAUAACUCAGGGAAACUUGAGCUAAUACCGGAUACGGUCGAGAGGCGAAAGAUUUAUCGCCGGAGGAUUGGCCCGCGUCCGAUUAGCUAGUUGGUGUGGUAAUGGCGCACCAAGGCGACGAUCGGUAGCUGGUCUGAGAGGAUGAUCAGCCACAUUGGGACUGAGACACGGCCCAAACUCCUACGGGAGGCAGCAGUGGGGAAUAUUGGACAAUGGGCGAAAGCCUGAUCCAGCCAUGCCGCGUGAGUGAUGAAGGCCUUAGGGUUGUAAAGCUCUUUCGCCCACGACGAUAAUGACGGUAGUGGGAGAAGAAGCCCGGCUAACUUCGCGCCAGCAGCCGC